rnacentral:sRNA from 1 species
CCCACAAAGACUCUGAGGACAGUGGACAGCAUCCAGAUGUAAAUAGUUCAGACAAGGGAAAAAACACAGACAUCCAUCUUUCAAUAUCAGAUGAAGCUGAUUCCACUAUUCCUAAAGAGAAUUCCCCAGAUUCAUUCCCCAGGAGAGAAAGAGAAGGAAUGCCACCUUCUUCUCCAUCAAGUAAAAACACAGUUCAUUUUGAUAAACCUAAUAGGAAAUUAUCUCCUGCAUUCCAUCAAGCACUACUCUCUUUUUGUCGAAUGUCAGCAGAUAGUCGUUUAGGAUAUGAGGUGUCUCGUAUUGCAGACAGUGAAAAAAGCGUUAUGUUAAUGCUGGGACGCUGCCUGCCACACAUUGUUCCCAAUGUGCUCUUGGCAAAGAGAGAGGUUUUCUUUUUACACUCUUGAUCAUAUCCUUUGAUGGGCAAAUGUUUUCCAUUUUUAUGAAAUCUGAUUUAUCUAUUUUUUUGUGUUGUUUGUGCUUUAAGUAUCAAUUUUAAGAAACCAUUGCCAAGGCAAUCAAUGUUAUAGAAGAUAUAUAUAUAUAUGUAUAUGAAUAUAUAUAAGAGCUAAAGCUAUAAAAUAAUUAGAAAACUUUUUUAUAUAUAUUUAGGUCAAUGUUUCAUUUUGAGUUAAUUUUUAUAUAUGGAGUAAAACAGGGUCUAACUUUAUUGUUUUCAUAUGGCUAUCCAGUUAUCCAGAAACAUUUGCUCAAGAUAAAAAAUUUCCUCUUUUGAAUAGUCUUGCUACUUUUGUCAAAAAUCAGUUGGGCCUAGAUUCUUCGGGUUUAUUUCUGGACUUUCAGUUCUGUUCCAUUGGUCUGUAUGUCUAGCCAUAUGCCACUACCACACUGUUUUGAUAACUGUUGUUUGUAGUAAGUUUUGAAAUUGGGACAUUAUAAGUCCUC